UAGCCUUGACAUAUUUUAGAACUCCGUAGAGAUACAGAGGUGCCUUCGGGAGCUAAUUUACAGGUGCUGCACGGCUGUCGUCAGCUCGUGUCGUGAGAUGUUGGGUUAAGUCCCGCAACGAGCGCAACCCUCGUCACUAGUUACUAACGGUUCGGCCGAGGACUCUAGUGAGACUGCCUUCGUAAGGAGGAGGAAGGUGAGGACGACGUCAAGUCAUCAUGGCCCUUACGGCUAGGGCAACACACGUGCUACAAUGGCCAGGACAGUGAGACGCGAUACCGUGAGGUGGAGCAAAUCUAUAAACCUGGUCUCAGUUCGGAUUGUAGUCUGCAACUCGACUACAUGAAGCUGGAAUCACUAGUAAUCGUAGAUCAGCUAUGCUACGGUGAAUACGUUAAAGGGGUCGU
rnacentral:rRNA from 1 species